rnacentral:rRNA from 1 species
GUGAGGAAUAUUGGUCAAUGGACGGAAGUCUGAACCAGCCAAGUCGCGUGAAGGAAGACAGUCGGUAAGAUCGUAAACUUCUUUUAUCAGGGAGUAACCGCCGCUACGCGUAGCGGUCUGCAAGUACCUGAAGAAAAAGCAUCGGCUAACUCCGUGCCAGCAGCCGCGGUAAUACGGAGGAUGCGAGCGUUAUCCGGAUUUAUUGGGUUUAAAGGGUGCGUAGGCGGGAUGCCAAGUCAGCGGUGAAAACUCCGGGCUCAACCCGGACCCCGCCGUUGAAACUGGUAACCUAGAGAGUAUUGGAAGUAAGCGGAAUGCGUGGUGUAGCGGUGAAAUGCAUAGAUAUCACGCAGAACCCCGAUUGCGAAGGCAGCUUACUACACUACCGCUGACGCUGAAGCACGAAAGCGUGGGUAUCAAACAGGA